rnacentral:misc_RNA from 1 species
CAGAUAUGGAAACUCCAAGAUCACCCCUACCAACUCCCAGAUCACCCCUACAGCCUCCAACUUACGGAAACUUAAUCACCAUUCUUAGCAUCGAUGGUGGUGGAAUAAGAGGAAUCAUACCGGCAACAAUCCUUGGCUUUUUAGAGUCUGAACUUCAGAAACUGGAUGGAGAGGAUGCAAGAUUAGCAGACUAUUUUGAUGUGAUCACAGGAACUAGCACUGGUGGUCUCGUCACUGCUAUGCUUACAGCACCAAAUG